rnacentral:lncRNA from 1 species
UCCGCUCCCAUAGUUUCACUCGUUCUAUUACCCCUUUCCUCUUACAAGCAAAGCUUCAGUAUUCUUAACUAUGGCAGAAGCUUGCCUCGCCGAUUUUGAGUAAGUCCUUUGUCUCUCUUCAAAACCCGUGACUCUUCUCUCUCUCUCUCAUUUGCAACGAGAUUUAGUCAACACAAGAGGCCAAAAGACUUUGGGCAUUUCGAUUUUUCUGACCAAAUCACGUGAGGCUCUUUCGAAUUACAACGUUCAGAUUCAAACGGUUUUUUUUACUGAAAUUCAAAUCCUUGAUUUCAAAUUUCUGCUCAAGAGGACCCAUCCAAAAUCAUCUCUCAAAGAACCCUAACUUUCCUCUAAAAAUACCCUCUUUUGUUUUCAGACGAAGCAGAGGUGGAAGGAACAAGAAUCACCACUUUACAUUGUCCAAAAUACUAAGUCUAAGAAGGACUCCGCCUUUGCUCGAACACUAUCAGUUUUACUCUUACCGUUGUUAACUUUCUUUCUAUCUCGUUUAACUUUGGUCGUGACAGAUAUUCGAACUCGUUCGGCUUGAAGUUCGGAUCUGUUCGUGACAAUAUAGAGUAGAUUCGGGAUUCGAUGCCCUAGUUCACUAUCCCACAAAAGGUAAUAGUCGACCCUGCUUCAGGUUCUCCUAUUUAAUUUAAAAUAUUGUGUUUACAUAGAAGAAUCGCGUUUUAGGUUUCCUUUUCUUUAGUUGUCACUAUUUUUAAGUUUUGUUCUUGGUCGAGUUUAGUAUAAGCAUUGCGCUAGAAAUUAUGCUUUAACUUUUCUCUAAUCGCAUCUAGAUAUAUUGUUAUUUUGGACAACCUGUCGUGGUAUCAUGCCUUUAGAUUUUCUUAAAAAUCAGAAUUAUGUUUAAAGUUAUGACCUGAACAUGUACUUAGUGAAAAUCAUGCUUUUAGGGUCUGUUGUCAUCUUUGCGUGAAUAUUAAAACUUAGGACCUUGUUUCUGAUCAAUGUGAUGUUCUCUAGGUAUUAGGCCAAGGAUCUCGUUUUUGUGAAUUGGGAUCAUAUGAGAAAAAUCAUGUCUGCUCCUAUCUUUUCUUGAAAGAUGAUGAAUUAUAUUAAGUUUUGAAAUACCUCAAAUUGAAACAGAUUCUAGUUGACUCGAUUCACUAUGAUAAAACACUGAUUCUGAGCUUACAAGUUCUUUUUUAUAAAUAUUGACAUCCUUUUGCUACUGUCGAAUGUUGUAAAAUAUGUCAUUACCUACUCACGUUUAAAUCAACUUUUAUUUGAUUCCUAUAGAGUGGACUUUAAGACUUUAUAUUGAUACUGAAU